GAAGAACCUUACCAGGUCUUGACAUCCUCUGGCAACUCUAGAGAUAGAGCGUUUCCCUUCGGGGGACAGAGUGACAGGUGGUGCAUGGUUGUCGUCAGCUCGUGUCGUGAGAUGUUGGGUUAAGUCCCGCAACGAGCGCAACCCUUGAUCUUAGUUGCCAGCAUUUAGUUGGGCACUCUAAGGUGACUGCCGGUGACAAACCGGAGGAAGGUGGGGAUGACGUCAAAUCAUCAUGCCCCUUAUGACCUGGGCUACACACGUGCUACAAUGGAUGGUACAAAGGGCUGCAAGACCGCGAGGUCAAGCCAAUCCCAUAAAACCAUUCUCAGUUCGGAUUGUAGGCUGCAACUCGCCUACAUGAAGCUGGAAUCGCUAGUAAUCGCGGAUCAGCAUGCCGCGGUGAAUACGUUCCCGGGCCUUGUA
rnacentral:rRNA from 2 species